UACGGAGGGUGCAAGCGUUAUCCGGAUUUACUGGGUUUAAAGGGUGUGUAGGCGGGCUUUUAAGUCAGUGGUGAAAUCUCCGGGCUCAACCUGGAAACUGCCAUUGAUACUAUUAGUCUUGAAUUCUGUUGAGGUAGGCGGAAUAAGUCAUGUAGCGGUGAAAUGACUUAGAUAUGACUUAGAACACCAAUUGCGAAGGCAAGCUUACUAAACAGAUAUUGACGCUGAGGCACGAAAGCGUGGGGAAUCAA
rnacentral:rRNA from 1 species